AAACUGCAGCAGGGCUUCCUCUGAGAUGCGAGCUGUGAGCUGCGAUCGAGGUUUAUAGUUCCUGCAACUGUCCCUUUCUGUGCUUGCCUUCCUCGCGUGCCUCGUCGUCUUCCGGAUUCUCUUUUGUAAGGUUCAAGCUCCAGGGCAGCUCUUUGAGACCUGCUUUACCAAUAGCCGAAAGCACCUCGUUCGGAAAUGAGAGCUGGAUUCAGCACCAGGGAAGCGGACAGCUCCUUAUAGGCGCCUUGUGCGCAGCACCGCCCCCGGCUGAGCCAGCCACACACUGGUCCAUAAAAGUGGCCUGGGCGGAUCCUUGGUCGCUAGGAUGUCCCUAGCAGAGGCUCUGCUGUGGCAUGCUUUACCUACUUGCUGUGAGCACAUGGAUUUAUUUUAAACCACAGAUUCCUGACAGCCUUUGGUCUCAGCUUCUGGCUCUAUUGCAACUGGACACUGAGAUGAGUUUCAAGCAGCCUUUGCACAAAUCCUGACCUUUAACCUUGUCGUCUGGGAGCUUCAGCUACUAUCACUGAAAUACUGAAUGACAGUUCAAUGUAAAUGGCUGGUAACAAGGUAAAGCAAAUGGAAAAAAAAAUUACUGGGCUUGCAGACCUGAAAUUGUGUUAAGAAGAUAAGACAGAAACACACCCAAAGUUAAGAUAACAGCAGCUAUUAUCAUGAGACUCUGUGCCAAGUAUCCCACAUUGCAAGUGCUGUUGGAGAUUUCAAGUUGACAAGGAUUACUUCCUCUGAGAAGAGAAAGUCACAGGAGGUGGUUUCGUGGUCAAUGAUUGUUUUCUGAAGUAUUUGUACAUGGCUUUGCCCCUUUCACGAGCUAUGGAAGCCAGCACUGUCAGGUCCUCAUUAUCACCCAGAAGCAUUUCAAUGACCAGAACAUGAUGGCUGCCUUUGGCCACCACCAUUGUCUAUACUGUAGCAUCAGACAGAUAUCCAUGAAAGAAGGUGAUGAGCACAUAUUAAAUGCAGAAUAAGAUGAGCUACUACUUUCUGAAUCAGUCUCAACAAAGUCAAGACAGCUCUCUGUGACAUCCAACCACAUGGUAUCUAGAUGUCCGUUAACUUCAUUAGCAACAGAACAGCCAUCCAGGACGACCUACUUAAUUGAAUCUCAGAACAGGUCACUGCAAUGUCCUGCCAGAAAGCCUUCAUUCACAGGUACACAGAAGAUGAAAUUUAUGGCAACUGAGAACAACACAUGUGACUUUGCCUGAGUAUCAGCAGCAUGAGAAUGACACAGAACUGGGGAAUGCCACAGUCAGAGCCUUGAUCUCUAUGUAUCCAAAAACUUCUGCAUUCCACUUCUUCCUAUUUGCAGCUACCUGGAAAUGUGUGUUGUCUCUAAAUGUUUGGAUUCCUCACUCCCCAAGAAGAAAAAGGACAUAUUUCUUUGAUUGUGCUGUUUUCCCUUUACCCUUGAUUUACUCCUACACUACACUUUAGAUUUCUAUUUCUAUUCUGUGAUGAACGUGUUACUUACUUUCGUAUUAAAAAGAAUACAUUGUUCCAACAACCAAAAAAAAGGGGGGGAGUGGAAGAAAUAAACAAAUAAAGACAAACCAUGUACAAGAGACCUCUAGUCUUAUUAGUAUGACUAGAGAGUGGGACAGGAGAUAAUCAGAUGUUAAAUUUCAAAAGCUCCUAUUAAAUUUUCAAGAUAAACAUUUCUAGAGGAAAUAUUUUUUCUCUUCUAUUUGAUAAGUCUACCCACUUCCUUUUUUUGUUUCAUAUAUUUUGAAGCUUAGAGAGGGUCACUUCACAUUUAGUAGCUGAGAAACACUGAUCCAUACCAAGAGUGAGGAGAAGGAAAACUUGAUUUCUUACACAUAUUUAGAAUUCCAGAAAAACGUAUUUCUGUUUUCUUUAUCAAAAAAUCUGAACAAUAUAUUCUAAACUUCAUUUGUAUAUUUGGUUUUGAUUGAUUUUUUACAGUAGUUUUCAUUGAGCAAAGAUACAAGAAUUAGAUUAGACAUAGAUCUAUGAAUACACAAUGUGCACUUUUAGACUCAUGAGAUUGCAUGGUUUGGCAGUGAGGUGCUGUGCAUGAGGGAAAUAUGGGUCCAACCAAGUCUUAAGGAUAUAUUACAUAUGGAAAGUUUACUUAUUUCAGCUGCUUUGAAUGAUUUGCAUAUUCCUCAUUAGCAUUUACUGUACCUAUAAACAGAAAAUAUGGCAAUUCCAGAACAGAUGGGUUAAGGACAAGGAAGGAGGAUGCAUCUUCACAGUGUGUUGUAACAGAGAACUUGGUACAGACAAGUUUACCUGGCCUUACCUGUUAGAUUAAAUUUCUCUACUUUGAUCGAUUUAGGGAAAGAAAUUAGUUGAUUAUCAUCAUAAACACUUUGGGGCAGGGAAUUGGUGACAUUCUUUUCUUCCUACAUGUUUUGAUUUUGUACAGAAGUAGUUCAGGGUCAUGUUGAUGUAAGCAUUCCAUUGUAUUUUUUUUCCCCUUUUAGCAGUAUCCACUGAACCAGGCUAUUGGUGAUAAUGGUUUUGCACCAUUGGCUAUAUUGUUUAAUGUAUGGAUGAGAAGAUUUCCACAACUUGGAGUUUAAAUAGCCACAUUGAAUAGGUAAUAGAUAAGGCUUUAGCUAAGGAUGCUUCUAUAUGUGGAUAAUGUUAGGUGUCCAAACAAUGCAUUUACUAAAUAGGGAAUGAACUAAGGAAGUGAGAGAAGAAAUGACUGCCCAUCUGAAAUUCAGUAAUAAUGAAAACUUAAGAGUCCUGAAUUUUAAGUAUCUAUUUGCAUGGAGUACCAGAAGUCCACAGAAAACCAAAGGCUCAGAGUCCUGUACUUCUGUUCAACAUUCAUGAGAAGUGGAGUUUUCCAGUAUCCAGGUGGGAGAUUCAUAAUGAGAUGAUGAAACACAAUAAAGUACAAUUAGGUAGUAAAAAAUAUGCUUUCAUGAAAUUCAGAGGCAAAUGAAUAGAACUAGAAAAUAUCAUCCUGAGUUAGGUAACCUUGUCACAAAAUAUUACACAUGAUAUAUACUCACUGCUAAGUGGAUAUUAGGAAAAAAGCUCAGAAUAACCACAAUAGAGCUCACAGAUUUUAUGAAGUUCUGUAGACAUCAUAAGACAGCAAACCCAGACACUAUUCCUGAUGUCAAGGAGCUCUUGCUGACAGGAGACUGGUAUGGCUGUCCUGUGGGAUAAAUACAGAUCUAGUUGCUUCCAGCCAACCAUCGGACUGAGCAUGGGGAUUACAAUGGAGGAGUUAGGGGAAGGACUGAAGAAGACAAGGGGUUUGCAAACCCUUAGGAAGAACAACAUUUUCAAACAACCUGACCCCUCAGAGCUCCCAGCACUAAACCACCAAUCAAAGAAUACAUAUGGAGAGAACCAUGGCUCCAACUGCUUAUGUAGCAGAAGGUUGCUUUAUCUGGCAUCAAUAGGAGGGGAGGCCCUUGUUCCUGUGGAGACAUGAUGCCCCAAAGUAGAGCAAUGCUAGGGCAGUGAGUGGAUGGGAGAGCACCCUCAUAGAAGAAUGGAGCAGGAGGUAUGAGAUAGGGGUGUUGCAGAGGGGAGAUCAGGAAGGUGAUUACAUUUGAAAUGUACAUAAAUAAAAUAAUCAAUAAAAAAGAGAUGAUGAAAAUUGUUAGUAAGUGCGCCUAUGCUUGCCAAAAAAUAAAAAGGCAAUCUUGAAAAAAGGCAAUGUUGAUCUGAUGUAGGAUAGUCUUGAUAUUUAGCUUUAGAAAAUACUACAGGCAUUAUCAAUAAAAAUACAGAAAUGAUUGCUGUAAGUAGUUUUAGAUAACCCAAUAUUGAAUUAUUUGUGGUUAUGCUUGGUUUCCUUCUUCCCAAUUUUAUUGUACAUAGUUUCAGUGUAGGCAAGAGAAGCCUCCAAACUGACAGGCAAGACUUUUCUAAAAAUCAUGACUUUCAACUCUGUUUGGGGUGGGUGGCAAAGAAUCCAGCCUAUGUCCUUACAUAUAAAGGCAAGGUUUCUCUCAUUGAACUAUACUCCCAGCACUAGGAUGUUCUUAUUUUGUUACUUUGUAAUGUUACUCUUGCAUGGUGCUUAAUAAGGAAACUCUUCGAAAUUUAAAUCUGAUUACAAGGAAUUUUUUUUUAAUACAGAAUCUGAAAAAAACAAAUACAGAUGAUCAUAUAGCUUUUCCUUCACGAGUAAAAGUAAAUAUAACAAAUUUGUAAUUCAUUCACUGGCAAAAGCAUUUUGUAUGUUCAUAAUGUGAAAUUGUACACAACUAUCACCAAUGAUAAUUAGGAAGAAAUGAAUUUAAAAUUUAGUAACUUGCAGAGGCAAAAACAACCUGUAAUGAAGAUUCAAGGCUUAAUAGAAAUGUGUGCAUUUCCUGUGUACACAAACAAUUUAACGAGCUAUCAAUCAUUUAACUAGAUAUGGGAGAAUGGAAGAUUUAUACAAUCUAUCUGAUAUAAUAUUUUAUGUCUGCCUCAAAAUGUUAACUUAAAGUCUAACAAUGGAAAUCACAGAAGGGAAAAAAGCCAUUGAUGGAGACCGGAUGAAUUACUGUUGCUCUUCUAAUUAUCUGGCGUUGAUGACAUAAAAUCAAUCAAUGAAUUGAAUAACCUCUAUUAGGAAUCAGGAAGAGGAAAUUGGAUUUCAUUAUAGGUUUCCUCUGAAGAAUAUCACAAGCAAAGUAUGUGACCAAGGAAAGAGAUUAUGCAAAAGUAAGAUCAAGAAGACUGAUAUGGCAGGCUGAGCACACACUUGGGUAGAGCUUUGAGUUUCUUAACAUAAUCUCUAGUGAGCCAAUGAGAUGGACAUGAGCCACUUUGAUAUUUGGCCAGAAAUCUGUUGUAUCUCUUGUUUGUAUCAUUAGAUGAAAGAAUAUUUCAUUGAUAUUUCAGAGAACUUCCUCAACUUUUGUUGUCAUUUUAUAUCAGUAUGACCCUAGACAUAAUUCCAAGAGGAUUCAACAGGACUCAUCUGUGAUAAUUAAUCUUGAUUGUCAACUUGGCAGGAUCUAGAAUCAAACUAGAAGAAAAGUUUCAGUGUAUAUCUGUGAGAGAGUUCCUAGUUGGGUUUCAUUGAAAACCCAUUCCAACUGCUGUUGCACCAUUUCAUGGAAAGAUACCCUGGACUAAAUAAAAUGCAGAAUGUGAGAUUA